rnacentral:lncRNA from 1 species
CUUUAUAGCGAUCAGCUGGGAGCAGUUGGGGCCGAGCCCUUCAUGUCUCGGGCUGUCCACACUCCAAGCGCGGUACGUGCGCCCAGGCCUCCAUCUUGCAUCUCAGUGUGAGCCUGGCGCUUGCGCACACAGCUUGCCUGCUAUGCUGAGGGGUGGGUGCAGCCGCUUGCCACGAGGAGGAGCUCUGGUCUGAAGCUCCUGGUGCGAGGUCUCUGCUCAGACCACCCUGUAAGCAAGUGAAACUCAACCAAGCACGAAGGAAAGAAAGAAGUCUAGAGACAGAUGGUGCAGAACAUGUACUGCGGUUCACAUGCCAAAUGGGAGCCAGUGCUCCUUGUCUUCCUGCUCUGUCACCUUAGCGUGUGGAUUUUGACCUUAGACUUGCUGCCUCAUGGUCACAAGAUGACUACUCCUCUUCAGCAUCAUACUUGGGCAAAAGGACAAGGGGACGGACACUAAGAAGGGGAUGUAUUGUCUGCGUGUGUUGCCUUCACACCUUUGAAUUCUAAAGGGAUGGCAGGGGCAGCUAACAGAGAGCAGAGAGGAGGCAUCCGGAAUCCCAUGUGGCACAUUUAUGUCAACUGCAUGUCAAUCAGAUGCAAGUGAAGACUAAGCAGUUCCAGCACGGGAACCUCUGAAAAUCAAGACCACAUCAUCCUGAUGUUUUGGCAUUUUGCCCAUUGCCUCAGCAUGUGCUUUUAAAGAGAGCUCUCUAUUGCCGUCUCAUGGUGAAUGAGUGAAUGGCUGGGAUUAGGAGACAAAACUGGCUACCACCACUAAGCAGAAAGAUUCCACAAAGGCAAAGGGGAAGCUUACAUGAAGCAGACCUGAGUUCCUGCUAUUACUUAUGUGCAACAUCAGAAAGAGAAUUCCAUGGUAAGUGUAGACAGUCUCUAAGGUUUGAGGCUCACCAUAUGAAGGAAUGUUUUCCUGGAAAGCUCUUCUUCUCCAGUCUGGCAUUCAUCCUUCUGAAACAUUUACCCUUCUGUCAGCUGGUCCUCUGGCCUAUUAAAACCAGAUCCCAGGCAUCUGAUUUUUUUGCAGAAAAGCCUGUAAUGACUGCAGGUUCUCCUUUGUUUGUGUCCAAGGGUUCAAUCCUUCUGACAGCCCAAAGUUGGCCUUUAGCAGUUCAUUAAAACAUUAAGUUGAAUUCUUAACUAUGACAGCAUCUAUCCCAGCUGCUGUUACUGCGAAAAUACCAGAAACUAACAACUUGAGGUAUUUCGCUGUAGUUGAAGGAAACUGCACUGAGAAAAAUGUCUCUCAUGUAAGAAGCAAAGAAAAGGCAUGUUUCUCUUGUCUCUGUGUUAUUAGAACUUGUCUGCCCUCCUCAGCACAUCAGCACUAAUGAUGCUGAAGUACGUAAAACAUAAUUGCCUUGAGUCAUUCUCUACCACAGAGAAGGUAAGAUUAAUAAAGAACAUUUUUUAUAAUUUUGCAACCAAUUUAUGUAAUGGAACUCAUAAUAAAUAACCACAUUUAACACAAGCAUUCAUCAAAGCCAAUUUACACAUCAGUUUGUUCACUAUGUGUUAAACCAACCAUUUAUAAGAACAAGUUGGUUUCUUUUUAUGUCCUCUUUUCUCUCUCUUAAAGUAAAAAUUAUUGUUAGAUAUGGUAAUUAUUUUGGCUUUUAUAGAAGCAACAUUGAUAGUGAUAUAUGUUGACUUCUCAGCUGUUGCUACAUGAUAUAUAAUUUUUCACAGUAUGUUGCUUCUGUCUGGACUAAGAGGAAAUUAUUGUUUUAAAAAUAUAAAGCCAUUAUUGAUAGUCUGUUCUUCUCUCAGCAACUUGUCACCUCUUAUAAUGAACACAGUUCACUAUAAGAAAGGCUAAGGAUUUCCAUGGACUGUCACUUAAUUAUUUACAGAAAAGACAGGUGCAGUCUAGUAAAUGAAAUUCACAAAUUAUAUCCAAGCAUCUUAUUAAAACCAUUUUCAAGUUAGCCUGUUUCAAAUCUUUAGCCAACCUUGUCACCUAUUCUUUUUUUAAUCGAAGUAUAGUUGACUUAUAAUAUUGUUUUAGUUUCAGUUAUAUGGCACAGUGAUUCAGUUUUUUGGCAGGCUAUAUUCCAUUUUAGGUUAUUAUAAGAUAUUGGAUAUAAUUCCCUGUGCUAUAGGUGAAACCUUGUUAUUUAUCUGUUUUGUGUACAGUAAUUUGUUUCUAUUAAUCCAAUACCCCUAGUUUGCCCCUCUGCCCUUCCUUCUUCCCUUUGUUAACCAUAAGUUUGUAUUGUUUGUGAGUCUGUUUCUGUCUUGUAUAUUGAUUCAUUUGUAUUAUUGUUUAGAUUCCAUAUAUAAGUGAUAUCAUAUAGUAUAUAUCUUUCUCUGUCUUAUUUCACUAAGCGUACUAUUCUCUAGCCUGUUCAUAUUGCUGCAAAUGACUGAAUAAUAUUUCAUUGAAUGUAUAUAUCACACCUUCUUAAGCCAGUCAUCUGUUGAUGAGUACUUGGGUUGCUUCUGUAUCUUGACAAUUGUAAAUAGUGCUGCUGUAAACAUUGGGGUGCAUGAAUCUUUCUGAAUUAGCAACUUUGUCUUUUCUAGAUAUAUACCUGGGAGUGGAAUUGCUGGAUCAUAUGGUACCUCUUUUUAGUUUUUUUAAGGAGACUCCAUGCUAUUUAAUGCAGUGCCUGCACUGUUUUACUUUCCCACCAGCAGUGUAUGAGGGUUUCCUUUUCUCACACCCUCCCCAAACCUCGUGGACCUUUUGAUAAUAGCCAUUCUGAAAAAAGUGUGAAGUGAUAUCUCAUUCUAGUUUUGAUUCAUAUUUCUCUGAUAAUUAGCAAUGUUGAGCAUCUUUUCAUGUGUCUGUUGGCCAUUUGUAUUUCUUCUUUGGAAAAAUGUUCAAGUCUCUUGCCUCUUUUUUUUCUUAAUUUUAUCAAUUUUUUAAAUUGAAGUGCAGUUGAUUUACAACGUGUUUUUUUAUAUAAUGAUUUUUAUUUUUUUUCCAUUAUAGCUGGUUUACAGUGUUCUGUCAGUUUUCUACUGUACAGCAUGGUGACCCAGUUACCCAUACAUGUAUACAUUCUUUUUUCUCACAUUAUCUGCUCCAUCAUAAGUGACUAGACGUAGUUCCCAGUGCUACACAGCAGGAUCUCACUGCUAAUCCAUUCCAAAGGCAAUAGUCUGCAUCUAUUAACCCCAAGCUCCCCAUCCAUCGCACUUCCUCCCCCUCCCCCUGGCAACCACAAGUCUAUUCUCCAAGUGCAUGAUUUUCUUUUUGGUGUGAAAGUUCCUUUAUGCUGUAUAUUAGAUACCAGAUAUAAGUGAUACAUGCGGUAUUUGACUUUCUUUUUCUGUCUUACUUCACUCAGUAUGAGAGUCUCUAGUUCCAUCCAUGCUGCUGCAAAUGGCAUUAUUUUGUACUUUUUUAUGGCUGAGUAGUAUUCCCUUGUGUGUGUGUGUGUGUGUGUGUAUCUCACAUCUUCCUAACCCAAUCAUCUGUUGAUAGACAUUUAGGUUGUUUACAUGUCUUGGCUAUUUGUGAGUAGUGCUGCAAUGAACAUGUGGGUGCAUGUGAUUUACAAAGUUGUGACAAUUUCUGCUGUAUAGCAAAGUGACCCAGUAAUACAUAUAUAUACAUUCUUUUUCUCAUAGUGUCUUCUGCUAUGUUCUAUCCCAAGAGAUGAGAUAUAACUUCUUGUGCUAUACAGUAGGACCUCAUUGCAUAUCUAUUCUAAAUGUAAUAGUUUGCAUCCACUAACCCCAAGUUCCCAGUCCACUCCACUUCCUUCUCCCUCCCCUUGGCAACCACAGGUCUGUUCUCUAUAUCUAUGAGUCAGUUUCUGUUUUAUAGAUAGUUCUUUGUGCCAUAUUUUAGAUUCCACAUAUAAGUAAUAUCAUAUGGUAUUUGUCUUUCUCUUGCCUGUUUUUUUGAUUGGAUUUUUUAAAAUAUUGAAUUGUAUGAGCUGUUUAUUUUUUAUAUUAACCCCUUGUCAUCUGUGACAUCAUUUACAAAUAUUUUCUUCCAUUCUGUAGGUUGUUUUUUGAUAAUGGUUUUGUUGAUGGUUUCCUUCACUGUGCAAAAAAGCUUUUAAGUUUAAGUCUCCUUUGUUUAUUUUCGCUUUUUUUAACUUUUCCCUUUUUAACCUAUCCACUACUGCUAUGAUAAGAUAGCUGCCAUUCAUGUGUAUUCUAGAAAAUGCUGCUAUAACACAGUCAUUAACAAAUCUCUGUAGAAAAAAAAAAUGGAUCUUGUAUUGACACUCAAAAGUUGCAGUCAGAAUUGUUGCUAAUGUAUGUAGCAAAAUUUUACAAGACAAGGGCCAUAAAUGGUUGGUGGUUCCCACUGUGAUAGGAUGAAUAAUGCCCCCUUAUGAUACCCAUAUCCUAAUUCAUAUCCAAGAGCCUAUGAAUAUGUUACCUUACGUGGCAAAAGGGAAUUGGAAGAUGAAGUUACAUUAAGGUUCUUGAGAUGGGAAGAUUAUCCAGGUGGAUCCAAUAUAAUCACAUGGGGUCUUUAUGAGAAGGAGGCAAGAGAUUCAGAGUUUUUAAAAGUGUAGAUAUGCUUAUAAAAGGAGAGGUGGACAGUAUGCAGGGUCAUGAGUCAAGAAAACAGAUUUCUCCUGGAGGCUCCAUAAAGAAAUGGAGUCCUGCUCAUAACUCAUUCCUUGCCCCCUAAGACUGUGGACUUCUGAUUUCCAGACAUGUAAGAUAAUAAAUCUGCUUUAUUUUAAGCCACCACUUAUGUUGUAAUUUGUUACAGUAGCAGUAAGACACUAGUAUAUCUGUGAAACCAGAAUAAGCACUUUUCCUUGUAGAACACAGAGAUAUCUCUUUAAGAGAAGUGAUGAAACUAGAAAUACGAGAUUUAAAUUAGUAGAAAAUUAUUUGAAAAUGCAAAGACAACUUUGCAUAAUCAAGCUGUCAUGUCAGUUUUUCUUUAAUUCAUGUUCUUCAGUAGAAAAUAUUUUUCAAGAACACACAUAUAACGCAAAAGAAUAUCCAUCUGCAAAAGCAACCAUGUUUAUACCUGCAUUCCUCCUUUACAUUUUUGAACAAGGACCAUGUAUCUUUGUUCAGAUGUGUGAAAUAUGCCUAUUAUGUCAUUCAACCAGAUAGAUACUUAUAGGGGGGUUAUACAUGAUACUUGGGAUCAAAGCCCCUACUCGAAGAACAUAUUUGACGAAGUUUCUGGGAAUUGGUACUGUCAUUAUAAAAAUGGCAGCCAUAAUGAGGGUAAUAUGUGAUUGAACUCACUUUCCUUUUACAUUUUGUUCUCCAAACUUAGAAAUUUAUUUUAUUUUGUUUUUUUAGUGAUUUUUAUUUUUUCCACUAUAGUUGAUUUACAGUGUUCUGUUAAUUUCUACUGUAUGGCAAAGUGACCCAGUCAUAUAUAUAGAUAUGUAUAUAUCUAUAUCUAUAUGACUUUAUAUAUAAAUAAAGUCUUUUCCUCACAUUAUCCUCCAUCAUGUUCCUCCACAAAUGAUUGGAUACAGUUCUCUGUGCUAUACAGAGGAUCUCAUUGUUUAUCCACUUCAAAUGAAUAGUUUGCAUCUAUUAACCCCAGAUUCCCAUUCCAUCCCACUCCCUCCCCCUCCCCCUCGGCAACCACAAAUAUAUUCUCCAAGUUCAUGAGUUUCUUUUCUGUGGAAAGAUUUAUUUGUGCCAUAUAUUGAAUUCCAGAUAUAAGUGAUAUCAUGUGGUAUUUGUCUUUCUCUUUCUGACUUCACUUAGUAUGAGAGUCUCUAGUUUCAUCCAUGUUGCUGCAAAUGGCAUUAUUUUGUUUUUUUAUGGCUGAGUAAUAUUCCAUUAUGUAUACAUACCACCUCUUUUUAAUCCAUUCAUCUGUUGAUGGACAUUUAGUUUGUUUCCAUGCCAUGGCUAUUGUGAAUAGUGCUACAAUGAACUUAUAAGUGCAUGUGUCUUUUUCAAGGGAAGUUUUGUCUGGAUAUACAUCCAAGAGUGGGAUUGCUGGGUCAUAUGAUAAUUCUAUAUUUAGUUUUCUGAGGUUUGGAAAUUUAUACCAUGAGUAUAAUGCCUGAAUAUUCAAUAAGGCAUCUCUGAAUGACUGUGCUUUCCUAAGGAAUAAAAUUCUCGUCCUUAAGAAACUGAAUAUAAUAAAUUAUACUCUAAUUUUCAGCCUGAAUAUGCCUUAUAAUGUCAAGUUUUACCUGUUGCUUAUUACUCUGGAUCUCACAGUAUGAGCUACAAUUUAUUUAUUGUCUUCCUUGCUAAGAUUUUCAUGUAUGUUAGUCUUCCUUUCCUCCAAAGAGGAAAUGUUCUUCAAAGACACAAACCGUAUGUCCUGAGUCCUUAAGAAGCCUCUAUAAAUGUAUGAUCAGUUAAAAGUAGACUCCGUUUCAUUUGAACCAAAGCUGUAUCUGUGUUUUUGUCUGGGAUACGUCUUAAUCAUCCUUUCAGCCUAAUGAUAUAGAGGCUAAGUCACUGAAGCAAGUAUCUUCAGAAUUAAGCAUCACAUAGGCUCUUUUUCUUCUGGAUUUAUGUUAAUUAUUUUGACUUUUAUCUCUCAAGAAAAGGAUUUUACUGUAUUAAACAAUAACUAAUUCUAAAAAUAAUUCUUAUUCUCCCUUGAAAAGGAAUGAGUGUAUAUUGUUCUUCUUAAUCCUUAUUUCAUUAUUAUUAUGACAAAAAAAUGACAUGUUGAUUUCUAACAGCUUUCUAACACAAUGGCUUCUGAUCUUUAGUCACGGACUCUACAAGUUAUGUGAAAGGGUUGCAGAAUGAUUUUAAGAGAUGCCCAGAACAGCUGUAGAUUUGAGGCUGCGAGCAGAAACAAUGGCUGGUAUCAUAGAGCCCAUAGUUUUUCUUGCGCCUUGCUCCAGACAGAAUAAUAGAGGCCACUUCACAGUCCAUGAGCCCUGAUGCCACAUACCAGUUAUCUUGGUUAAGUUUGGUAGAGAGACAUAUGCUUAAUGAGAUUGUAAAGCUUAUAAAAUGUGGAACUAUGUCUAGUCACUUAUGAUGGAGCUUGAUAAUGUGGGAAAAAAGAAUGUAUACAUGUAUGUGUAACUGGAUCAUCAUGCUGUACAGUAGGAAAAAAAAAUUCCCACCAAACAUAAAUAAAUAAAUAAAAUGUGGUCAUUUCAGAAUGCGUCCAGAUACUGAAAAGGCCAUAUCUGUGCAUCCACAUGGCUACAUUAAAGAAAUUCAAAAUGAUUCCUUAAUCUCUCUUCAGAUCUUUAAAUAUGCUAUUAUUUCACAUUCCAUAGAUAUUCUCCAAUGAACAGUGGUUAUAGUCAUGGAGGUGGUUGUUUGGGGACACAGCAAGAAUGUAAGCUAUCUAUUUCAUUGACCAUGAAUAAAUAAAUGCAUAAGCAAAUAAUAAAAUAGGAGCAAAGGCUGUGUCGUUCUGGUCCUGUCAGCUAUAAUAGUGGCUUCAGUGUGGCAGAAGCACCAGCAUUCUGGUUGUCUCUAGUACAGUAUGGACAUGAGUGUGUCCUGAGCUCUGCAAAGAUUCUGUGAACUGUAUACAUCCUUUAAUUAAUCUCAUUCUGCUUAAUCUAGCAGUUUCCAUGAUCUACCAUGAAGAAUCCUAAAUAACAUACCAUUUAAUCCAACAGAAAAAAAAAAAAAAAAAA